rnacentral:rRNA from 1 species
AUGCAUACACACAACGAAAUAAAGGCAGUAUACAUAUUGCAGCCAGAGCAUUCGCAUCUCUCAUCCAAUAUUACAGCAAACCAGCAGGAGUACAUCAGGAAAUCAAGAAACAUGGCACCAUGUCCUCACCCGACAACAGUCCACCAGUCCCCAGAUCGGCGGAUCGAUCGAUGGAUCAGCGAAGCUCGUGGAUCACUUGUUGUUCAUGAGCACCUUGACGAGCUCCUUGCACUGGACGCGGCCCUCGCCGCGGGGGUCGGCCUUGCGGAGCAGCUCGUCGGCCUCCUCCUCCGUGAGCCGGUCGCCGUGGGUGAGCAUCACCUGCCGCAGCUGCUCCGCGGGGAUGACCCCGCUCCCGUCGUCGUCGAACGCGUCCAGGCACUGGGCCAGGCCCUUGGCCGACACGCCGGCGUUGGCCUUGCGCGCCGCCACGGCCAGGAACGUGGGGAGGUCGACGGCGCCGGCGCCGCCCGCGCCCGCGUCCUCGAGGAAGCCCCGCGCCUCGGCCUCGUCCACGUUCUGGCCCAGCGAGCGCAGCGCCGUGACCAGCUCGCCGGCGGCGAUGCGGCCGUCCUCGUCGCCGUCGAACAGGUCGAACACCUCCUUGCACUCGUCCGCCUGCGCCUGGGUCAGCUUGGCCGCCAUGGCGGGGAGAGACCAGAGAGAGCUGAACUGCUGAAGGGAUAG